AAUAAUCGUAAAAGUACCUUUCGCACGAGUCAAUUGAUUUCUUAAAAUACCGUGACAGGCAAUUAAACUUUUAUGUGAUGAACGAGAGUAAUUAUUGCUUUGUAUGAAUCGCUGUGGGUCCAUGUUGGGCAUAUUCCUCAAGUGUAACAUAAUGGGAAGAUACAGAUUCAUUAAACGAGGUUUUUGCGACAAUACUUCCACCCAAGAAUGCAAGCUCCUCAAACAUUGCAUUAGUACCCGCGUCAGGUUUCCAGGAUGGGAAAUAGUCUGGCAAUAUUUUGCAAGGAUUAAUCAAUGCAGGGUAGGGAGUGGGUGGCAUCGUAGUCAUACCAAGGAUAGAGUCGGUACCUUGAGCGGCAUAAUAAGGCUCCAAACUUCCUGACAACUGAUACUUAAAUUGAAGCUGCUGUAUUAAACAUUCCCGAAAACCACGAAUACGUGAUCCACAACCUAAUACUAUA